rnacentral:tRNA from 1 species
GUCCCCUUCGUCUAGUGGCCUAGGACACCGCCCUUUCACGGAGGUCGGGGUCGCGAGUUCGAGUCUCGUUUCCCGCUCCA